GACGGGAGGGGCUAGUGUUAUUCGGAAUGACUGGGCGUAAAGGGCACGUAGGCAGUGAAUCAGGUUGAAAGUCAAAGGCGCCAGCUCAACUGGCGGAAUGCUUUCAAAACCAAUUCACUUGAGUGGGAUAGAGGGGAGUGGAAUUUCGUGUGGUAGGGAUAAAAUCCAGAGAUAUACGAAGGAACGCCGAAGUAGCGAAGGCAGCUUUCUGGGUCUCUACUGACGCUAGGGUGCGAAAGCUUGGGGAGCAAACAGG
rnacentral:rRNA from 1 species